UGUGUGUGUGUGUCUGUGUCUGUGUGUGUGUGUGCGCGCGCGCGUGCACACACACACACACACACACACACGCAUA
rnacentral:miRNA from 1 species